GAAGUUCCCUGGCAGGGACAAUACCAGGAUCACUGAGGUGGUCUUCCCAGGGUCAGACACUUCCACUGCACUGAGGAGGUGGUGAUUUCUGCGAUUUCCCCAAAUGUGGGUAACUAAAUUGCUUAAUUUCUGGUAGCGAGGGACUGUGCUCUCAUACACCCCUG